rnacentral:rRNA from 1 species
AGCUUGCUCUGCUGGAUCAGUGGCGAACGGGUGAGUAACACGUGAGCAAUCUGCCCCUGACUCUGGGAUAAGCGCUGGAAACGGCGUCUAAUACCGGAUACGAGCUGCGAAGGCAUCUUCAGCAGCUGGAAAGAACUUCGGUCAGGGAUGAGCUCGCGGCCUAUCAGCUAGUUGGUGAGGUAACGGCUCACCAAGGCGUCGACGGGUAGCCGGCCUGAGAGGGUGACCGGCCACACUGGGACUGAGACACGGCCCAGACUCCUACGGGAGGCAGCAGUGGGGAAUAUUGCACAAUGGGCGCAAGCCUGAUGCAGCAACGCCGCGUGAGGGACGACGGCCUUCGGGUUGUAAACCUCUUUUAGCAGGGAAGAAGCGAAAGUGACGGUACCUGCAGAAAAAGCGCCGGCUAACUACGUGCCAGCAGCCGCGGUAAUACGUAGGGCGCAAGCGUUAUCCGGAAUUAUUGGGCGUAAAGAGCUCGUAGGCGGUCUGUCGCGUCUGCUGUGAAAACCCGAGGCUCAACCUCGGGCCUGCAGUGGGUACGGGCAGACUAGAGUGCGGUAGGGGAGAUUGGAAUUCCUGGUGUAGCGGUGGAAUGCGCAGAUAUCAGGAGGAACACCGAUGGCGAAGGCAGAUCUCUGGGCCGUAACUGACGCUGAGGAGCGAAAGGGUGGGGAGCAACAGGCUUAGAUACCCUGGUAGUCCACCCCGUAAACGUUGGGAACUAGUUGUGGGGACCAUUCCACGGUUUCGUGACGCAGCUAACGCAUUAAGUUCCCCGCCUGGGGA